GGUCCUUACCUCUGGUUUGGCUUUCACAGUGAAGCCAAACCAGGACAGCUUGUUACACAGAGUCUGGAAAGCAGCCCUUCAUGUUGGGAUUCUGGAAUUGGGUCACUGCCGAGUCAGAUUUCAAUAAGGAAAACAUACUUGAAAAUCAUGCUGACCAACUAUAUUGAUGACAUUAGGCUAAUUUGACAUGGUAGACAAGAAAUUCCAAGUACUGUUCUUUGCAUUAUUGGUAACUGUGUCUGCUGUGCUUUGGAAUAAGGUCCAAGAUUUGAAAAUGACUUUGGAACUCUCUCAAGAAAUCCCUUAUCCAAGAAAUACGGAUAAAUAGCCAUGUGGAGAUGAUCAACAUCAGGAGUAUGGUUGUACAACCAGAGCUGAUGAAUAAACUUUUAGGUAUUCCUAGUUUUCUUUUUCAAUAAUAUAAAUACAUUUUAAACAA
rnacentral:lncRNA from 10 species